rnacentral:rRNA from 1 species
GACGAACGCUGGCGGCGUGCUUAACACAUGCAAGUCGAACGGAAAGGCCCUGCUUUUGUGGGAUGCUCGAGUGGCGAACGAGUGAGUAACAGGAGAGUGACCUGCCGUGGAGGUUGGGGAACCUAAAGAAAAUCUGGUCUAUAACCGGAUGGACGCACGUGAUCAUGGGGGGGGGUGGGAAGGUUCGGCCGGUUGGGAUGGUCUCGGGGCUUAUCAAUUUUGUGGUGGGGGAUUAGCCUUCCAACGAUUUGGAUGGUAGCCGGGCUGAGAAGGGGAACGCCCCCCAUGGGCCUGAGGUACGGCCCAGACUCCUACGGGAGGCAGCAGUGGAGAAUAUUGUACAAUGGUCGGAAGCGUAAUGCAGCAACGUCGCGUGUGGGAUGUCGUCCUUCGCGUUGUAAACCGCUUCCGCCUGUGACGAAGCGGGAGUGACGGUAAUGGGUAAAGAAGCACCGGCUAACUACGUG